rnacentral:rRNA from 1 species
UACGAAGGGGGCUAGCGUUGCUCGGAAUCACUGGGCGUAAAGCGCACGUAGGCGGCUUUUUAAGUCAGGGGUGAAAUCCUGGAGCUCAACUCCAGAACUGCGUUUGAUACUGAGAAGCUUGAGUCCGGGAGAGGUGAGUGGAACUGCGAGUGUAGAGGUGAAAUUCGUAGAUAUUCGGAGGAACACCAGUGGCGAAGGCGGCUCACUGGUCCAUUACUGACGCUGAGGUGCGAAAGCGUGGGGAGCAAACAGG